rnacentral:lncRNA from 12 species
CUCAGAAUUUCAGCUUGAGUUUUAUGUUAUUUUUUUCCCUUCCAACUGACAGAGCUGGGAGUAUGGUUUUCUCAGAACGUUCUGUCUUUAUAUCUGAGUGUCACAGUGGUGCAGGCAGGCUCCCUUGAUGCCUUCCAUAGUAACUAGUAACACAACCACCAAGCUUCCUGGAAAACCUUUGUGACAGCUGAGACGGCUGAUGGCCUGUGCACUGCCUUCCCACCAGUGCUCUGACUGGCAAGCCGGACGUGGCGGUUACUCACAGUGACACGGCUCAGAUGGGGAAAGCUCAUCUAGGAUGAACCAGGGUCGAAAAUGGAAAAUGUUCCGCUUUAACUGCUUUUCAUGCUUGACACACUUCAGAAGCUAUUCUUUUGGACAACAUAAUCAAGAUGAGAAAACUCAGGCUCAGAGAAGAGCUGGGAUUAACCCCAUAUCUGCCUGGCCCCAAAACUGCUUCUCUGAACCUGUAUUCCAGGGGGAAACCACUGCUGAUCCCAGAGGUAGCUGUCCAUUAGAAUCUUGUCAUGCUAGGGACAAAGCUCCCGACGUCUAAGAGAACAGAUC